AGGGGAAAUUUGGGAUAACCCCCUAAUUUUGAAAAUAUAUAGGGAUAGACCCUAUUGAUUUUUCUUUCCUAGUCAAAAACCCAAAUUCUAAUCUUAAUUUGACAGACCCCCUGGACAAACUAAAAUACCCAUUUUGCCCUUCUAGUUACAAGUAAAACCCUAACUCUUUCUCUCACAAUUCUUCGUUCUAUUCUCCCACCGCCUCUUCUCUCUCUCACUUCCCAUCUGCUCCGCUGCUCCGCCAUCGGCGCAAAAUCGCCGCUGCUCCGCCACCGGCGCAAAAUCGUCGCUGCUCCGCCACGGACGCAAAAUCGCCGCUGCUCUGCCCGAGCCUUGCACCGCUGCUCCGCCAUCGCGCUACUCGGUUCUUUUCUCUCUCUAACCAUUCUUCCGACGCGCAUCCCCGCUCCACCUCCACCGUUCAAGCGGUCGCUCCCCUUCCGUCUAGCGCCGCCUCUCUUUCCGCCGCACCUCCUUGCCGAGCUCAGCCGCCAACUAUUUCCACCGCCAUUUGCUUCAAACUGCUGCCCCUAGAUGCGAAGAAUGAAGAGUACAACGGAUCUGGAAAAUCGCUGUGUUUUUAUAGCAGAUCCGCACACAGUCUUGCAAGAGUACAUGGGUCCCGCUACGAACACGAGAAUUUCACAGGACCUCCAUUGUUUGCCGCUAAUUCCUGCUUCUUCGAAGCUUCGUGUUGCAAGCAGGAGAAGGCCUUCCACUAUUUACUGUUUCAAAAACAGCGCCCCUGAAUAAUCUGUUCAGAAACUGUGAGUUUAAUUUUAGGAGUCGACUUGUACAUAAAACGCGAUUGUUGUGGCAAGAAAUAUAAUAAAAAAAAAAAAAAAAUCGAAACUUGUUCCUGGUGGUGGUGCGACCAAACUGACUGUUCAUCCAUUGAAGGCAUAGAAAAGGUCUUGGUGUUUGAACUACUAUGUAGUAAGUUUUUUCACAGUUCUUUGUGUUUGAACUACUAUGUAGUAAGUUUUUGCGGAGUGGAUUGUGUUCGUUGUUCAAAACAACUGGUUCCCGUGUUGACAAGUGCGAUUUGAGUCAAAUUUAGUCGUAUAGAUAACUGUAGUCAUGCAUAGUUCCAUAUAGUUAUAUAUAUUUAUGUACAAGCUAUGUGGUUUUUCUGAUGUAUAGUAAUCUUGAUGAUUGUGUUUUUUUUUUCACUUUUUUGUUAGGCAUUAAAUUAUUUA